AUUGAACGCUGGCGGCAGGCUUAACACAUGCAAGUCGAGCGGGGGAAGGUAGCUUGCUACCGGACCUAGCGGCGGACGGGUGAGUAAUGCUUAGGAAUCUGCCUAUUAGUGGGGGACAACAUCUCGAAAGGGAUGCUAAUACCGCAUACGUCCUACGGGAGAAAGCAGGGGAUCUUCGGACCUUGCGCUAAUAGAUGAGCCUAAGUCGGAUUAGCUAGUUGGUGGGGUAAAGGCCUACCAAGGCGACGAUCUGUAGCGGGUCUGAGAGGAUGAUCCGCCACACUGGGACUGAGACACGGCCCAGACUCCGACGGGAGGCAGCAGUGGGGAAUAUUGGACAAUGGGGGGAACCCUGAUCCAGCCAUGCCGCGUGUGUGAAGAAGGCCUUAUGGUUGUAAAGCACUUUAAGCGAGGAGGAGGCUACUCUAGUUAAUACCUAUGGAUAGUGGACGUUACUCGCAGAAUAGGCACCGGCUAACUCUGUGCCAGCCGCCGCGGUAA
rnacentral:rRNA from 1 species